ACAAUCCGCCCGUCGCGUCGGUCUACAAAGCAAUUUCAUCCGCUCGGUGGAAGAUCUUCCCUUGGUCGU
rnacentral:pre_miRNA from 1 species